CCUACGGGAGGCAGCAGAGGGGGAUAUUGCACAAUGGGGGAAACCCUGAUGCAGCGACGCCGCGUGUGGGAAGACGGUCCUCUGGAAUGUAAACCACUGACCCCAGGGACGAAGAGGACGGUACCUGGGGAGGAAGCUCCGGCUAACUACGUGCCAGCAGCCGCGGUAAUACGUAGGGAGCGCGCGGUGGCCGGAAUUACGGGGUGUAAAGGGAGCGUAGGCGGGACUGCAAGUUGGGUGUAAAAUCUACCGGCUCAACCGGUAGCCGCACCCAAAACUGCAGUUCUUGAGUGAAGUAGAGGCAGGCGGAAUUCCUAGUGUAGCGGUGAAAUGCGGAGAUAUUAGGAGGAACACCAGUGGCGAAGGCGGCCUGCUGGGCUUUUACGGACGCUGAGGCUCGAAAGUGUGGGGAGCAAACAGGAUUAGAUACCCCGGUAGUC
rnacentral:rRNA from 1 species